GCGGGCGUGGCGGAAUGGCAGACGCGCUAGACUUAGGAUCUAGUGCCAAUAGGCGUGGGAGUUCAAGUCUCUUCGCCCGCACCA
rnacentral:tRNA from 2 species